GUGGAGAUAGAAUUGUUUUCCAAGGUCUUUUUGAGCCUACCUACAGAGACCUUUGUUCAUUUGCUAAAGAGUAGGAAAUGGAAAAAGGCAUGACUUCCUUUUUUAGGUUUCUCUACUUUCAUAGGUGGUUGUUUUCAACUCAGACAACUUAAAUGCCUAUUAAAGCAGUUAGACUAUUCACUUGGCAACCUAGAAUAUAUGUGAGCCAGGGAUUGUCUUGAAGGAAAUGUUUUCUUCCUUGUAAACCUGCGUACUUGCUCCAGUGUGUAUCAGGAUCACCCAGACAACUUUAUUUAAUUUUCUUUUGUUCUCCUUGUGCAGGGGAUCAGUUAUUAUUCUAAUAAUAAUUAGGGACAUGUAUACUUUCAGAAGGAUUCCCUGUGAUUGAUGGGCGGCCCUCAUUACAAUCACUGUUCUUUGUUAUCUGCAGUGCUUAUUUAGAAUAUAAAUUCUAGACCCCUAAUCUAGAGCUAGAGAAUCAGUAUCUCUAGGGUUAGGGUCUAGGAAUAUUCAUUUUAGCCAUGAACCAGAUGAUUUCUCCAUUUACUACAAUAGAGAACCACUGGCCUUCUACACCCUGUCUUUGGUUUAAGACAAAUCUUAGGAAUGCUGCUUAUUUAC
rnacentral:lncRNA from 1 species